GAUGAACGCUGGCGGCGUGCCUAAUACAUGCAAGUCGAGCGAACAGACGAGGAGCUUGCUCCUCUGACGUUAGCGGCGGACGGGUGAGUAGCACGUGGAUAACCUACCUAUAAGACUGGGAUAACUUCGGGAAACCGGAGCUAAUACCGGAUAAUAUAUUGAACCGCAUGGUUCAAUAGUGAAAGACGGUUUCGCUGUCACUUAUAGAUGGAUCCGCGCCGCAUUAGCUAGUUGGUAAGGUAACGGCUUACCAAGGCGACGAUGCGUAGCCGACCUGAGAGGGUGAUCGGCCACACUGGAACUGAGACACGGUCCAGACUCCUACGGGAGGCAGCAGUAGGGAAUCUUCCGCAAUGGGCGAAAGCCUGACGGAGCAACGCCGCGUGAGUGAUGAAGGUCUUCGGAUCGUAAAACUCUGUUAUUAGGGAAGAACAAAUGUGUAAGUAACUAUGCACGUCUUGACGGUACCUAAUCAGAAAGCCACGGCUAACUACGUG
rnacentral:rRNA from 1 species